rnacentral:rRNA from 1 species
ACAUGCAAGUCGAACGAAGUAGCAAUACUUAGUGGCAGACGGGUGAGUAACAUGUGGGUAUCUGCCCUUUGGCCUGGAAUAACACGAGGAAACUUGUGCUAAUACCGGAUAAGUCUUUACAGAGAAAGCUUUAUGCACCAAUGGAUGAGCCUGCACUUGAUUAGUUUGUUGGUGGGGUAAUGGCCUACCAAGACUGUGAUCAAUAGCUGAUUUGAGAGGAUGAUCAGCCACAUUGGGACUGAGACACGGCCCAAACUCCUACGGGAGGCAGCAGUGGGGAAUCUUGCACAAUGGAGGAAACUCUGAUGCAGCGAUGCCGCGUGAGUGAAGAAGGCCUUUGGGUUGUAAAGCUCUUUCGUCGGGGAAGAAAAUGACUGUACCCAAAUAAGAAGGUCCGG